rnacentral:rRNA from 1 species
AGUGAACGCUGGCGGCGUGCUUAACACAUGCAAGUCGAACGAGAACGGAAUAUAGCUUGCUAUAUUUGUCAGCUAAGUGGCGCACGGGUGAGUAAUAUAUAGAUAACCUGCCCUCUAGAAAGGAAUAACAGUUGGAAACAACUGCUAAUGCCCUAUAUGCCUUUAAUACAUAAGUAUGCAAGGGAAACGCUUUAGUGCUAGAAGAUGGGUCUGUAUGGUAUCAGCUUGUUGGUGAGGUAAUGGCUCACCAAGGCUAUGACGCCUAACUGGUUUGAGAGGAUGAUCAGUCACACUGGAACUGAGACACGGUCCAGACUCCUACGGGAGGCGGCAGUGGGGAAUAUUGCACAAUGGACGAAAGUCUGAUGCAGCAACGCCGCGUGGAGGAUGACACAUUUCGGUGCGUAAACUCCUUUUAUAUAGGAAGAUAAUGACGGUACUAUAUGAAUAAGCACCGGCUAACUCCGUGCCAGCAGCCGCAGUAACAC